AUUGAACGCUGGCGGCAGGCCUAACACAUGCAAGUCGAACGAGUGGCGGACGGGUGAGUAAUGUCUGGGAAACUGCCUGAUGGAGGGGGAUAACUACUGGAAACGGUAGCUAAUACCGCAUACCAUCAGAUGUGCUCAGAUGGGUUUAGCUAGUUGGUGGGGUAACGGCUCACCAAGGGGACGAUCCCUCGCUGGUCUGAGAGGAUGACCAGCCACUAUGGAACUGAGACACGGUCAAGACUCCUACGGUGGGCAGCAGUGGGGAAUAUUGCACAAGGGGCGCAAGCCUGAUGCAGCCAUGCCGCGUGUAUGAAGAAGGCCUUCGGUUUGUAAAGUACUUUCAGCGGGGAGGCGUUACCCGCAGAAGAAGCACCGGCUAACUCCGUGCCAGCCGCCGCGGUAAUUC
rnacentral:rRNA from 1 species